UCUCUCCUCGGUGCCCAAAGCUCCUCUCUGAUGGCCGGGGCUUCGGAGGCGACAUAUGUAGGGUUCGUGGUUUUGUAGGACUUUGAAGGCGAGAUCUCUAAGCCGUUGUUGAUGCAUUAAUGGUCGUGGCGAGAUGAUGAUCCUUUCCCCAGAUGAUCGACUAUGAACAUACUGUGCGCUAUUGUUUUCUCCUUCAAGGAGAAGAUCAAGCCAGGUUUCUGAUCUCCGCGAUUGCCAACCAAUCCAAUGGCUGGCAUGGUGCAAUCGUUGAUCUCCUUUCCGAUGGCCAUUAGGGUUUCUCGUUUCCUUUCUAUAAGUAGCUCGCCUCCUCGUUUAAAGUUAAGGUUCCUCUUUCUUCGCGGAGGCUUCGUAGUCGAGAUCUCUAGAUUUCAUGAUCUUUUCGGCGUUAGAUUCUUAGCGUUUGUGUUCAUGUCUGUUGAUAAAUCCAUGAUUGGUUUCUUUCUUCUUUUUGUUUCAUUUUCUUUUCCGAUUUGGAAGAGAAUGAUGGAGGUGUUCUACGGGAUGUGAUGAUCCUUUCCCCAAAUGAUCGACGGUGAAUACACUGUGCAUUUUUCUUUGUCUCCUCAGAUUGGAGGAGGAAGAUUCAAGCCAGCGGUUCUGAUCUCCAUCCUUCCAUCUUCUGUUUUCCUUUUUUUAGUUUUGUUGAUUUCUGAUGCUUUGUUGCCGUUGAUGAUACAUCAAUGGUCGCGGCGAGAUGAUGAGCCUUUCCCCAGAUGAUCGACUAUGAACACACUGUGCGCUAAUGUCUUCUCCUUUACGGAGAAGAUCAAGCCAGGACUCUGAUCUCCGCGAUUGCUAAUCCAUUCAAUGUCUGAUAAUUUGCAAUUUUAUGUUUGUGUUGAAAAUAUUUUAAUUAAUAUUGAUACGAGAGUUCCAUUA